GAUGAACGCUGGCGGCGUGCCUAAUACAUGCCAGUCGAGCGAACGGACGAGAAGCUUGCUUCUCUGAUGUUAGCGGCGGACGGGUGAGUAACACGUGGAUAACCUACCUAUAAGACUGGGAUAACUUCGGGAAACCGUAGCUAAUACCGGAUAAUAUUUUGAACCGCAUGGUUCAAAAGUGAAAGACGGUCUUGCUGUCACUUAUAGAUGGAUCCGCGCUGCAUUAGCUAGUUGGUAAGGUAACGGCUUACCAAGGCAACGAUGCAUAGCCGACCUGAGAGGGUGAUCGGCCACACUGGAACUGAGACACGGUCCAGACUCCUACGGGAGGCAGCAGUAGGGAAUCUUCCGCAAUGGGCGAAAGCCUGACGGAGCAACGCCGCGUGAGUGAUGAAGGUCUUCGGAUCGUAAAACUCUGUUAUUAGGGAAGAACAUAUGUGUAAGUAACUGUGCACAUCUUGACGGUACCUAAUCAGAAAGCAACGGCUAACUACGUG
rnacentral:rRNA from 1 species